AUUGAACGCUGGCGGCAGGCCUAACACAUGCAAGUCGAGCGGAUGAAGAGAGCUUGCUCUCUGAUUUAGCGGCGGACGGGUGAGUAAUGCCUAGGAAUCUGCCUGGUAGUGGGGGAUAACGUCCGGAAACGGGCGCUAAUACCGCAUACGUCCUACGGGAGAAAGCAGGGGACCUUCGGGCCUUGCGCUAUCAGAUGAGCCUAGGUCGGAUUAGCUAGUUGGUGAGGUAAUGGCUCACCAAGGCGACGAUCCGUAACUGGUCUGAGAGGAUGAUCAGUCACACUGGAACUGAGACACGGUCCAGACUCCUACGGGAGGCAGCAGUGGGGAAUAUUGGACAAUGGGCGAAAGCCUGAUCCAGCCAUGCCGCGUGUGUGAAGAAGGUCUUCGGAUUGUAAAGCACUUUAAGUUGGGAGGAAGGGCAGUAAGUUAAUACCUUGCUGUUUUGACGUUACCGACAGAAUAAGCACCGGCUAACUUCGUGCCAGCAGCAGCCGCGGUAA
rnacentral:rRNA from 1 species